AUUGAACGCUGGCGGCAUGCCUUACACAUGCAAGUCGAACGGUAGCAGGGGCUUCGGCCCGCUGACGAGUGGCGAACGGGUGAGUAAUACAUCGGAAUGUACCCAGUAGUGGGGGAUAGCUCGGCGAAAGCCGGAUUAAUACCGCAUACGCACUACGGUGGAAAGCGGGGGACCUUCGGGCCUCGCGCUAUUGGAGCAGCCGAUGUCAGAUUAGCUAGUUGGUGGGGUAAAGGCCUACCAAGGCGACGAUCUGUAACUGGUUUGAGAGGACGACCAGUCACACUGGGACUGAGACACGGCCCAGACUCCUACGGGAGGCAGCAGUGGGGAAUUUUGGACAAUGGGCGCAAGCCUGAUCCAGCAAUGCCUCGUGUGUGAAGAAGGCCUGGUUGUAAGCACUUUGUCCGAAGAAUACGUCGGGCUAAUACCCUGUGGGAGUGACGGUACCGGAAGGAAU
rnacentral:rRNA from 1 species